rnacentral:rRNA from 1 species
CCUACGGGAGGCUGCAGUAGGGAAUAUUGGACAAUGGGCGAAAGCCUGAUCCAGCCAUGCCGCGUGUGUGAAGAAGGCCUUCGGGUUGUAAAGCACUUCCAGUGGGGAAGAAAGCCUUGGGGCUAAUACCCUCGAGGAAGGACAUCACCCACAGAAGAAGCACCGGCUAACUCCGUGCCAGCAGCCGCGGUAAUACGGAGGGUGCGAGCGUUAAUCGGAAUUACUGGGCGUAAAGCGCGCGUAGGCGGUCUGAUAAGCCGGUUGUGAAAGCCCCGGGCUCAACCUGGGAACGGCAUCCGGAACUGUCAGGCUAGAGUGCAGGAGAGGAAGGUAGAAUUCCCGGUGUAGCGGUGAAAUGCGUAGAGAUCGGGAGGAAUACCAGUGGCGAAGGCGGCCUUCUGGACUGACACUGACGCUGAGGUGCGAAAGCGUGGGUAGCAAACAGGAUUAGAUACCCGUGUAGUC